rnacentral:rRNA from 1 species
GUAGGUGGCAAGCGUUGUCCGGAAUUAUUGGGCGUAAAGCGCGCGCAGGCGGUUCUUUAAGUCUGAUGUGAAAGCCCACGGCUCAACCGUGGAGGGUCAUUGGAAACUGGAGAACUUGAGUACAGAAGAGGAAAGCGGAAUUCCACGUGUAGCGGUGAAAUGCGUAGAGAUGUGGAGGAACACCAGUGGCGAAGGCGGCUUUCUGGUCUGUAACUGACGCUGAGGCGCGAAAGCGUGGGGGAGCAAACAGGAUUAGAUACCCUGGUAGUCACGCCGUAAACGAUGAGUGCUAAGUGUUAGGGGGUUUCCGCCCCUUAGUGCUGCAGCUAACGCAUUAAGCACUCCGCCUGGGAGUACGGCCGCAAGGCUG